UCCUCCGACUUUUCAGGAAAGCUUUGUUGUAACGUUGUCUUUUGUUUAUCAUGCGUUCGGUUUGUGCAUAACGUUAUAUUGUUUCAAGUUGUCUUCCAUGGCAGUCGGGUGUGCACAUUGUUCCAUGCACUCUCCUAUUCUCUUCUUCAGCAGCCUAGUAGAAGCCUGGCUGAGGUUUCCACUUUGAGGGCGUGGGUCCCCAACCAGUUAUCAGAGAAUCGGCUUUGCCUAAAUACUAAGACCUCCACAGGGUCCUUCAUGACGAUCCAGGUGACACUUUCAAACAGAGGAGGCGUGGUCAGGGACCCGAGGUACGUCCAGUAGUCACGCCCAGCUGUUAACAACACAAAACACAAUGAACCAAAUGAAGCUGGAAAAGAUCAUCACUUAAAACUGGGAAUUGGAUUCAAGAAACGGAAUCUCUGACAAAUCUUGGAAAGUCAAAUAAUUGCUUUAUCUAAGCGUGAAAGGUAGAGCUGUGUCGGAAAACGCCGCUGUGAAAAUUCAACUAUUCGACAAUCGGCACACCAACCUUCUCACAACAAGGGGCAAUAUAUCGACAAUUAGAGGACUGAGAGAUUCACUCGAAAAUUCCUGUGUGUCCAUAUUUUUAGUUGGCGUAUUGAAUUGAAUUCUUCAUUACUCUAUUGUGUCGUCAUGUAGCAGUGACAUGCUUGUCUUGUAU